rnacentral:rRNA from 1 species
GAUCCUGGUCAGGAUGAACGCUAGCUACAGGCUUAACACAUGCAAGUCGAGGGGCAGCAUGGUCUUAGCUUGCUAAGGCUGAUGGCGACCGGCGCACGGGUGAGUAACACGUAUCCAACCUGCCGUCUACUCUUGGCCAGCCUUCUGAAAGGAAGAUUAAAUCCAGGAUGGCAUCAUGAGUUCACAUGUCCGCAUGAUUAAAGGUAUUUUCCGGUAGACGAUGGGGA